AGUGAACGCUGGCGGCAGGCCUAACACAUGCAAGUCGAACGGCAGCACAAGAGAGCUUGCUCUCUGGGUGGCGAGUGGCGGACGGGUGAGGAAUGCAUCGGAAUCUGCCCAUUUGUGGGGGAUAACCUCGGGAAACCGGGACUACUACCGCACACGACCUACGGGUGAAAGCAGGGGAUCUUCGGACCUUGCGCAGAUGGAUGAGCCGAUGCUGGAUUAGCUAGUUGGAGGGGGAAAGGCCCACCAAGGCGACGAUCCGUAGCUGGUCUGAGAGGAUGAUCAGCCACACUGGGACUGAGACACGGCCCAGACUCCUACGGGAGGCAGCAGUGGGGAAUAUUGGACAAUGGGCGCAAGCCUGAUCCAGCCAGGCCGCGUGUGUGAAGAAGGCCUUCGGGUUGUAAAGCACUUUUGUUGGGAAAGAAAAGCAGCCGGUUAAUACCCGGUUGUCAUGACGGUACCCAAAGAAUAAGCACCGGCUAACUUCGUG
rnacentral:rRNA from 1 species